ACGUGUAUAGCCAAGCGGUAUGGCAACGGGCUCUUAACCCGUAUAUCGGGGGUUCAAAUCCCCCUACACGUA
rnacentral:tRNA from 1 species